rnacentral:rRNA from 4 species
AACUUUCAACAACGGAUCUCUUGGCUCUGGCAUCGAUGAAGAACGCAGCGAAAUGCGAUAAGUAAUGUGAAUUGCAGAAUUCAGUGAAUCAUCGAAUCUUUGAACGCACAUUGCGCCCGCCAGCACUCUGGCGGGCAUGCCUGUUCGAGCGUCAUUUC